GUACAGUAACUCAGAACAUCUGUGGCCUGAAGCCAAGACCCAAACUAGACACCCGUGGAGUACAAAAGAUGACACGGCGGCAGGCUCACGAGAUGACAGCUGGGUGUUCACAGGCGAAUGACAACGGUGGACGUUAACUGCUGCAGAUGAUGGAUGUGGUUUCCUGAGAGGUUCCGGAGACACAGAGCCCUCCAACGUACAAGGGUGAAACUGAUGUAGAUGUUUAUGGGCAAGCUCAUGAAUUGUAACCCUGCUUUUUGGUGCUCAAAUGACAUAGCGAUAAUAAAAACCUAGGCAGAAAGGCCCAUCCAUUCCUGAGUCUGCAAACAGACAAAAUGAAGUGCUUUCUUCACAUGUCAGUAAAGAUCAGUCUCUCCGUGUCACAGUGGACCUGACUUCCUGAAAAUGACAGUUUCCAUGCCGUGAGAUCAGUUCAACAGCCAUGGAAGAUUUCCACCGUGUGUGUGUUAAUAUGUAUCUAUAUGAUCUUUUAAGGAAAACUGUGUUUUUAAGUCAAAGAUGAGGUUAAUUGGGCCACAUUUUAGAAGCCACACUUUGGGGUAAUGCCUCCCUGUUUUAAAUGACAUGAACCAAUUCCAUGUAAGCAAUUCCUCUGCCCUUAAAAGCAAACUAACAUUACUCCUGCUCCCU